rnacentral:lncRNA from 1 species
UGGUGAGAUGAAAGGAUCAACGUGAGACGAGGGAUCAACUUGCGUUUGAUCUGCUAAGUGGAAAGAGAGGUCAGGAAGGUUCUUCAAUGCAGGUUAGUGUUACUCUCCAACAUCUGUCCGAUAUGAAAUGAAAUGAAUUGAAUUAGAAGUGAUGUGGUUAGCUUCUGUGAUGAUUUGAAACUCGUGUAAUUAAAGAUGUAGUCAAGUGUUAGAUUUAUGGUUGAUGGUUGUGUAUGGUAUUAAAUAGAACUGAUGGUUAGAUAGAAACAUAAGUUGAACCAUAAAUUUUAAAAAGCUUCUGUGGUUAGAUAAAUUUUAAAAAGCUUCAGUGAAACUCCUUUGUUUGUUGUUAGAUAUGUGUCAAUUCGAUCAGCAUUCAAGUCUGCUAGUAGUUGAAACAUAAAUUUUAAAAAGCUUCUAUGAUGAAUUGUUUGUGUUGAGUUGUUUGGGUUGGUGUCUUGAAUGCUACCUCUCUUCCUUGUAUUAUUUAUAACCACUGUCUUUCUCUUCAAUCUCCAACAUCUGAAUGAGCUUGAUAGCUCUUCCUUCUCUUUCUCCUCCGGCUCCUCUGCCUCCUCUUUCUCCUCUGUCUCAUCUUUCUCCACCGUCUCCUCUGUCUCCUCUGUCUCCACCGUCUCCUCUUUCUCCUCUUUCUCCUCUGUCUCCUCUGUCUCCUCUGUCUCCUCUUUCUCCACCGUCUCCUCUUUCUCCUCUGUCUCCUCU